AAAAGCCAGAUAUCCUGAAAUUCUAAGCUGUCCACGUCACUAAAAAUAUUCCUCCAAUCACAAUAUUUCGUUUGGACACGUCAUACAGGUUUAAGUUUUUUCUGGGCUUCACGUUUUCUUUUUAUUUAGAGUCUGGGCUUUGUUCACGAGGAUUAGUCACGAGAGCUUCUCUUUCACCUUAUCGUCUUCUCUGCUUCAAACCCUAGAGUCCUCCAUCGAUCCACUUCUUCUCAAUCAUAACUCCUCUUCUUCUCAAUCAAUCAAUUUCUUCUUAAUGAUUUCGUUUCAGUUUCCUCUAUUCCUCAUCCUUUAUAUACUGAUUUACUUUCGUUUGAAAAAAUCAAAACCCCUGAUCUGCUCUAACCUAGAUUCAUGGCGAUGAAACCGAAUGGGAAGUCAAUUGUCUCCUCUGGUUACGAUGAGAAAGUCAUGUUCUUCAAAGAUGUCUCGCUGGGUCACCACGAAGCUCAGUUGCGAUUUCGCCUCAUCCAUUUUUGGGAGGCUUGGAACCCAGUAAAGAAGACGUUUAUCGGCCUGGAGAUGCUACUCAUCGAUGAACAGGGAGCUGUUAUUCAAGGAUUUAUUUCCCCAUGACGUAUUGAAAAAUACUUGCCUGACAUGAAGUGAGGAUCUGUUUACAAACUCAACAACUUCUAUGGAUCCAGAAACAAGUCUGUGUUUCGGGUUGCUGAUCAUACCGCAACCGUGUCGUUCUCAUGGGACUCAAAACUGUCGGUUCUUCGAGACUGUCGCACCCCUUUUGAUGAAGACAGUUUCCGGUUUCAUUCGUAUGAAGAGUUUCAAGCUAACUCUGAUCUCAAGGGAGAUCUCUUCGAUGUUGUGGGCCACAUGAAGUUGGUUGAUAGUCAGAGUAUCAAUAAGUUCCCCGUGCUUGACGAAGUGGAGAUAGCAAAGGCGAGGCGUCUGCUGGUUCAUAUCCAGUCACAUGAUGGACCCGUGAUGAAGCUUUACCUUUGGGAUCAGGCUGCAAGAAAAUUCUGCAAAAAGUUCAAUUCAUACGAAAAUACACCCACCGUGUUACUGGUCACGACCGUAAACACGAAGACUCUCGGAGGUACUCUUGCCUUGGCACCAAUGUCCUCCUCGCGUGUAGUUAUGAAAUACGAUGUCCAACCUACUAUCGAUUACUUCGGCUGUCCCGGAAGCUCUAAUCAGCACAAUCGGGCAAAGACAUAAGUUUUGUGUCAAAGUGACAGAGCACAAUUUAUCAGGCAAGACCCAGUCCCUUACUGUGACCAAGAUCCUCCCUCUAGACACAGCCAGCAACAGUAUCCUCGGAAGGAAACAACACGACUGCAACUUCGGAGGAAACAUUCAAAAGCCGUGUGGAUUCUGCAGAGGGGAGUAAGAGGACUUGUGACAGUGAUGAGAUAGAAGAAGCUAAAUGCCAUAAACGUGGGAAUUAAAGGUUCAGUACGUCUCCUAAACUUGCAAGGUUCAUUGCAGUUUAAGUGUUUUUUUCUCAGUUUCGUUUUUUACUCAUGUUUUCCUUUCAGUUUAACUUUCAGAGUUUUCUUUCUUUCCAACAUUUUAUCUACUUCGAAUGAUUAUGAAACCAUGAGCUGUGCACUAUUACUUUUCUCCUUCAAGAUUACUUUGCUGAGUUAUUCAUUUAGAAUU